rnacentral:rRNA from 1 species
AUACCCGCUCCGCGAGUGGUGGGGACUUUUACUGGGCUUAAAGCGCCCGUAGCCGGCUGGGUGUGUCCUCCGUUAAAUCCACAGGCCUAACCUGUGGGCUGCGGGGGAUACUACCCGGCUUGGGGGUGGGAGAGGGCGGCGGUAUUCCCGGGGUAGGGGUAAAAUCCACUGAUCCCGGGAGGACCACCAGUGGCGAAGGCGGCCGCCCAGAACACGCCCGACGGUGAGGGGCGAAAGCUGGGGGAGCAAACGGGAUUAGAAACCCUUGUAGUCC